rnacentral:rRNA from 1 species
CCUCCUUUCUUCCGCCGUUCUUACUAUUUUUCCCUUUUCUUCCUCCUGCCCCCGCCCCGUCGCGUGCGGGUUGAAGGCCCUACGGGUCGUAAACCGCUUUUGCACGGGGAUAACACCCUCCACUUGUGGAGGUCUGCAGGUACCGUGCGAAUAAGGGCAGGCAAAUUCCGUGCCAGCAGCCGCGGUAAUACGGAAGGCCCGAGCGUUAUCCGGAUUCAUUGGGCUUAAAGGGAGCGUAGGCGGGCGUUCACGUCAGCUGUAAAAUCGCGCGGCUCAACCGCGCCCCGCAGUUGAAACUGGACGCCUUGAGUUCACAACAGGCAGGCGGAAUUCGUGGUGUAGCGGUGAAAUGCAUAGAUAUCACGAGGAACCCCGAUUGCGAAGGCAGCCUGCCGGGGUGCGACUGACGCUGAGGCUCGAAGGUGCGGGUAUCAAACAGGAUUAGAUACCCCAGUAGUC